rnacentral:lncRNA from 1 species
AAGUCUUUCUCCACACUUCUAAACACUCUUCAUGCAUCUCUAGCACUUGUAAUCAAUCACAUUUAUUGUAUUCUAACAUAUUCUAAACCCAAAAAACACUAGAUAAUUCAUUUAGUGGUUCAACGCAAUGUUUCCGAGUUCUUAGCCCAUUUGGGAUCCAAUUUCAACAAGUCUUUCUCCAUACUUCAAAACACUCUUCAUGCAUCUCUAGCACUUGUAAUCAAUCAAAUUCAUUGUAUUCUAAUAUAUUCUAACCCCAAACAACAUUAGAUAUUUCAUUUAGUUGUUCAACGCAAUGUUUCCGAGUUCUUAGCCCAUUUGGGACCCAAUUUCAACAAGUCUUUCUCCACACUUCUAAACUCUCUUCAUGCAUCUCUAGAACUUGUAAUCAAUCCAAUUUAUUGUAUUCUAACAUAUUCUAAACCCAAAAAACACUAGAUAAGUAAUUUAGUGGUUCAACGCAAUGUUUCCGAGUUCUUAGCCCAUUUGGGACCCAAUUUCAACAAGUUUUUCUACACACUUCUAAACAC